UGGGGAAUAUUGCACAAUGGGCGCAAGCCUGAUGCAGCCAUGCCGCGUGUAUGAAGAAGGCCUUCGGGUUGUAAAGUACUUUCAGCGGGGAGGAAGGGAGUAAAGUUAAUACCUUUGCUCAUUGACGUUACCCGCAGAAGAAGCACCGGCUAACUCCGUGCCAGCAGCCGCGGUAAUACGGAGGGUGCAAGCGUUAAUCGGAAUUCCUGGGCGUAAAGCGCACGCAGGCGGUUUGUUAAGUCAGAUGUGAAAUCCCCGGGCUCAACCUGGGAACUGCAUCCGAUACUGGCAAGCUUGAGUCUCGUAGAGGGGGGUAAAAUUCCAGGUGUAGCGGUGAAAUGCGUAGAGAUCUGGAGGAAUACCGGUGGCUAAGGCGGCCCCCUGGACGAAGACUGACGCUCAGGUGCGAAAGCGUGGGGAGCAAACAGG
rnacentral:rRNA from 1 species